rnacentral:rRNA from 1 species
AAACGACGGCCAGUUGGUGCAUGGCCGUUCUUAGUUGGUGGAGCGAUUUGUCAGGUUAAUUCCGGUAACGAACGUAACUCUAGCCUAUUAAAUAGACGUGCUACCGGUAUCCGAGAGGUGCCGUCGUCGGAGGCGGCCGUCAAACGUCGUCUUCGCGCGGUCUUCACUACCGGCGUACAUUUAUCUCUUCUUAGAGGGACCGGCGGUAUAUAUAGCCGCACGAGAUUGAGCAAUAGCAGGUCUGUGAUGCCCUU